rnacentral:ncRNA from 2 species
CUCUUAUCCAGAGUGGUGGAGGGAAAGGCCCUACGAAACCACGGCAACCUACAAACAUUUAUGUUUGGAAAGGUGCCAAAUCCUGCGAAGCGUUAUGCUUUGAAAGAUGAGAG